CUCUUUGAUGUGUUGUGCUAAUUAUCAGCAGAUAAGGUCUCCGCCAGUAAACUAAUGUGAGUGGUCCUUGAAUGAAAUAAAUUAAAGAUAUAACAUCAGACAGAUGUUAUAUCUUUUGUUCUAUUAUCCCAAAUGUUUCCAACAAUGUCCAAACCCAGAGAAAUAAAAAUGGGAUACGUCGGGAAUGUCAGAAAGUCAGGAAAGAAGCUGACUAAACAAAAAGUGAAUACAAUUUUACCUCGUCCGCGGACAAUUUCUUCCUGGAUCAUGUCAGAUAGUUGGUUGGCGGUCCCAUGAUCACCUAAAUCUAGACAGUGAAUGGUAUUUAAACUGUAGCCUCAGAAUGCUUAGAAGACAAAAAUUUGGACAAUACAAUGUGACUAAAAUCUUACUGAAAACUACACUAAUAAAAUGACUACUUACAAUCUAAUGAAUAUCUAAUGUUAUGCAUGCCAUCAAAGGACUAAAGCGAAAUGUAUCUCUGUGACUGUUAAAUAUCGGCACAAUAAUGCAGCUGUCAAAAAUCCCUUUUAUUCUUUAAGCAGAAAAAUGUGUUUCUGUCAAUCUCCACUGUUGAAAACGUAACAUCCGAUGUAACCUUGCCCGUAUUUGGCACCUCUUCCAUACCUUCAGAAAUAAAGACGCACCAACCUAUCAACAAAAAUGGCGCAGGAACGUGAAGUGCAGCACCAUUAGCUGACUUUCUAACAGUGUUGAAGUUUUUCAUGGUUGAUUUUUAUUUUAUUUCUCUCUCUAGCAAAUCAUCUGCCGGGCUGCUGCUGACUUGUUGGACUUCACUGUGUAAAUGGUUCACCACAUAUGGCAGCUGCAAGCUUUCGGGCCAACUUGUUGAACUUGAUGGAUAGUGAAAAGGCCUUCGGGCUGCAUGUCUCUACCCCAUGCUUUCUUUCCAUCAUUCUGUCUUUGUUUCUUCCUCUGCGAACUCACUCUCUGUGCCUAUUGAUUAUCAGAACUUCCUCUCUGCACAUUCAGAGAUAUUACCUCCUCUCCUCAGCAUGUCUUUGCUGUUCCAACUGUUGGAGGUUCUCCAGCACUCUCCAAACAGGUCUGAUCCUUAACAAAGGUGAGGGGCUGGAGCUCGUUGUGUUCCAGCACAGCAGAGGUGAACGGAGAGAGGUCUGUGUUCCUGGCACACGAUUCCUUCACCACGCUGUCACGUCUCUUCAACUCUCCCCCUCUCUGAUGUUACCUGACAGGGGUAAGAAGUGUCUAUGCAUGUAA
rnacentral:lncRNA from 1 species